CUGAUUUUCAUUUUUAUUGUUAUUGCUGUUAUUUUUAUGUUUUAAUAUUCUUUACUUUGGUUAUCUGUUGGCACAUUUAACUGUUAAGAUUUCUGUGAUUAUUUUGGUUUUGGUAGGAUGUUGCUUGCUUGCAUUGCAUUGAUUGAUGUAUUUUAUUUCUUGCUGCUUUUGUUGUAACUAAUGUUAUCUCAGUGCACAGGUAUAGGUCUGUUAAAUAUUUUUUGCUUUAUCGACUCUUAAUGGAUGGAAAUGAAAAGAAUUGGUAAAGAAUCCUUAGAACAUGAUCGGAAAAGGGUGGUUUGAAAGGAAAUGGUGGAUUAAAUCAUAGUGAUAAGAGAUGCAAAAGUCAGGACAGUUAUGGAUAAAAGGGGUUUAAAACAAAAGCAAAGAGUUCCUGUUUGUACAUCAAGUCCUAUAUAUCGCGAACAGUGAAGUUCUGUCAGAUUUUCUUUUGUAGGCUUACUUUGUAAUGCUUUUUUCUUUGCAUUCAUUGAGGUGCAUUAGGAAAUUAUGAAAAUUAUUCUGUAUUAUUUGAUUUUGUUGAUACUGAAAAAUAGCUAUUAUUCUUGCUUGGGAUACUCUUAGUUUUUUUUUCUAGAUUCAAAUUGGUCAUUCUUAUAAAUAGUUUUGCUUAUGCUAUGUGACUUCUAAUAUAGAUACUUUGUAAAUUAGCUAAGUGAGCAUGAAAGUCUCUUAAUAUGGUUUGGUUCAGAAGGAUUAUUAUUUAGAAAUAUUACAUCUUGCAUAUCAUCCACUUCUGAACAUUUAUUUUCAAAAUAGUUGACAUGUGUCAUAUCUGCUCUAGUCUCUUAAAGAAACGGAUAUAGAUACAAGGAUGAAAUAUAUAGCAUAAUGAUAGGCAUGUUUGUAGAUAUCUCUUCCUCAAACGAAGCAGUUUGUUAUAAGAAAUUAGUGAUUCAGUUUUAGCAUCAGAUGACCUCACAGUUUUUAUGAAUGUACAAAGAUUUAUUUCCCAAAUGCACACUAAAGGGAAGAGGAGGAGAGUGAGGUUGAAGGAGGAAUGAGCUCAGAUGCUAGAGAUGACGAGGAGACAGAGUUAUGUCUGAGAAAGAUCUCAGAUGCUCGGUAAAGUAUACUUAAAAUUUCCUUGAAGAUUUUUUCUUUUAGAUUGUAGAUGUUAGUGAGUUUUUACGUUUGUUAUUGUUUUUUUAAUUUUCAUUACUUAGAAAAAUAAAUGUUUCAUUGCAUGAGCUAUGUAACUAGGUAGAUGAAUUAUUUUUUAAAAACAAUAUAUGAUGCAAAUGAUAUUAGGCAAAAAAAGAAAAAAAAAAAUAGUUCUUGACUUCAUUUUAAGAUAAUAUUUGAUGAAGGUUUGUCUUUUAUAUGCUUCCUAAGAGGUGAAAAGGGAAGGCAUAUAAAUCGCAGAAGAAGGUGUAAAGUUAGGUAAGGUAUGGUACACGGGCGCGGUUGAAAGGUCGGGAUAUUUUAAUACUCUGCUCAACUUCACAACAAGUUAUGCAACACCAGGAACAUUACUUUUCCACCACUACAAGAAUUUUGUUUUUGGUGCAUGUCUGUUGGUUUCAUACCUUGGACCACAAAAAUUGAACCCAUGUAAGAUUCAUAUGCGUUGGUAUAGAGAAGCCCUCCAUGAUGGAGGUUAAGACAAGAAUACCUUCACGAGAAUAAAGGUACUUGAGAAGAGCACAGUAAAUUCAUAGAUCUCAUAAAGAAAAGGGACUUGUUUUCAUGAGUUUAAAACAUAACUCAUACAUUCAUUUUAGUUUUAGAAUAGAUCUCUGUGCGUACUCCAUAUUUGACACCAGCACAGUUCCUGAGAUGUGUAUAUCACGUUAUGCAUAGAAGCACAUUUUCAUAACAUAUUCACCCGUCAUUUUAAAUGAAUGUUCUCAACACUAGCAAAAUUGUACAUUACUCUCAUGGUGCUGUAUCAAGCACAUUGGUUUAUGAAUCCUCGAGGUAAGCCACAGUGGAAACCAGGCAUCUUCGGCUGGGAACUUUUUGCAUGUCUAAACCUUGUAGUUGAAAGAAUUAUUAGAUUUUAUUUUCUAAACUUUAGAUCUGUGAGGUAGAUUUUAUUAGAGCAUUAUACAGAGAUUCAGACCAAGAUGGUAUUCAAAGUUUGGUAAACAAUUAUAAAUCUAGAAAGGUUAAUGGAUUUAUGUCUGUAAUUACACUUUCAUUGGCACUUGCCUAUCAGUUGCCAUAUAUCACAUUUUGUCAGUGUACUUGACAAAAAAAAAAAAAAAAAAAAAAAAAAAAAAAAAAAAAAAAAA